AACGCUAGCUACAGGCUUAACACAUGCAAGUCGAGGGGCAGCAUGAACUUAGCUUGCUAAGUUUGAUGGCGACCGGCGCACGGGUGAGUAACACGUAUCCAACCUGCCGAUGACUCGGGGAUAGCCUUUCGAAAGAAAGAUUAAUACCCGAUGGCAUAGUUCUUCCGCAUGGUAGAACUAUUAAAGAAUUUCGGUCAUCGAUGGGAAUGCGUUCCAUUAGGUUGUUGGCGGGGUAACGGCCCACCAAGCCUUCGAUGGAUAGGGGUUCUGAGAGGAAGGUCCCCCACAUUGGAACUGAGACACGGUCCAAACUCCUACGGGAGGCAGCAGUGAGGAAUAUUGGUCAAUGGACGAGAGUCUGAACCAGCCAAGUAGCGUGAAGGAUGACUGCCCUAUGGGUUGUAAACUUCUUUUAUAUGGGAAUAAAGUUUUCCACGUGUGGAAUUUUGUAUGUACCAUAUGAAUAAGGAUCGGCUAACUCCGUGCCAGCAGCCGCGGUAAUACGGAGGAUCCGAGCGUUAUCCGGAUUUAUUGGGUUUAAAGGGAGCGUAGGCGGGUUGUUAAGUCAGUUGUGAAAGUUUGCGGCUCAACCGUAAAAUUGCAGUUGAUACUGGCGACCUUGAGUGCAACAGAGGUAGGCGGAAUUCGUGGUGUAGCGGUGAAAUGCUUAGAUAUCACGAAGAACUCCGAUUG
rnacentral:rRNA from 1 species